rnacentral:rRNA from 1 species
CCUACGGGAGGCAGCAGUGGGGAAUAUUGCACAAUGGGGGAAACCCUGAUGCAGCGACGCCGCGUGAGUGAGGAAGUAUCUCGGUAUGUAAAGCUCUAUCAGCAGGGAAGAAAAUGACGGUACGUGACUAAGAAGCCCCGGCUAACUACGUGCCAGCAGCCGCGGUAAUACGUAGGGGGCAAGCGUUAUCCGGAUUUACUGGGUGUAAAGGGAGCGUAGAGGGAAUAGCAAGUCUGAUGUGAAAGCCCGGGGCUCAACUGCGGGAGUGCAUUUGAAACUGUUGAUCUAGAGUAUCGGAGAGGUAGGCGGAAUUCGUAGUGUAGCGGUGAAAUGCGUAGAUAUUAGGAGGAACACCGAUUGCGAAGGCAGCUUGCUAAACUAUGACUGACGUUGAGGCUCGAAAGCGUGGGGAGCAAACAGGAUUAGAUACCCUAGUAGUC